GAAUGCUGACAUAAGUAACGAUAAAGCGGGUGAAAAGCCCGCUCGCCGGAAGACCAAGGGUUCCUGUCCAACGUUAAUCGGGGCAGGGUGAGUCGACCCCUAAGGCGAGGCCGAAAGGCGUAGUCGAUGGGAAACGGGUUAAUAUUCCCGUACUUGGUGUUACUGCGAAGGGGGGACGGAGAAGGCUAUGUUGGCCGGGCGACGGUUGUCCCGGUUUAAGCGUGUAGGUGUGUGUUCCAGGUAAAUCCGGUUCACUUUAACACUGAGGCGUGACGACGAGGCACUACGGUGCUGAAGCAACAAAUGCCCUGCUUCCAGGAAAAGCCUCUAAGCAUCAGGUAACAUCAAAUCGUACCCCAAACCGACACAGGUGGUCAGGUAGAGAAUACCAAGGCGCUUGAGAGAACUCGGGUGAAGGAACUAGGCAAAAUGGUGCCGUAACUUCGGGAGAAGGCACGCUGACACGUAGGUGAAGUGAUUUACUCAUGGAGCUGAAGUCAGUCGAAGAUACCAGCUGGCUGCAACUGUUUAUUAAAAACACAGCACUGUGCAAACACGAAAGUGGACGUAUACGGUGUGACGCCUGCCCGGUGCCGGAAGGUUAAUUGAUGGGGUCAGCGCAAGCGAAGCUCCUGAUCGAAGCCCCGGUAAACGGCGGCCGUAACUAUAACGGUCCUAAGGUAGCGAAAUUCCUUGUCGGGUAAGUUCCGACCUGCACGAAUGGCGUAAUGAUGGCCAGGCUGUCUCCACCCGAGACUCAGUGAAAUUGAACUCGCUGUGAAGAUGCAGUGUACCCGCGGCAAGACGGAAAGACCCCGUGAACCUUUACUAUAGCUUGACACUGAACAUUGAGCCUUGAUGUGUAGGAUAGGUGGGAGGCUUUGAAGUGUGGACGCCAGUCUGCAUGGAGCCGACCUUGAAAUACCACCCUUUAAUGUUUGAUGUUCUAACGUGGACCCGUUACCCGGGUUGCGGACAGUGUCUGGUGGGUAGUUUGACUGGGGCGGUCUCCUCCUAAAGAGUAACGGAGGAGCACGAAGGUUGGCUAAUCCUGGUCGGACAUCAGGAGGUUAGUGCAAUGGCAUAAGCCAGCUUGACUGCGAGCGUGACGGCGCGAGCAGGUGCGAAAGCAGGUCAUAGUGAUCCGGUGGUUCUGAAUGGAAGGGCCAUCGCUCAACGGAUAAAAGGUACUCCGGGGAUAACAGGCUGAUACCGCCCAAGAGUUCAUAUCGACGGCGGUGUUUGGCACCUCGAUGUCGGCUCAUCACAUCCUGGGGCUGAAGUAGGUCCCAAGGGUAUGGCUGUUCGCCAUUUAAAGUGGUACGCGAGCUGGGUUUAGAACGUCGUGAGACAGUUCGGUCCCUAUCUGCCGUGGGCGCUGGAGAACUGAGGGGGGCUGCUCCUAGUACGAGAGGACCGGAGUGGACGCAUCACUGGUGUUCGGGUUGUCAUGCCAAUGGCACUGCCCGGUAGCUAAAUGCGGAAGAGAUAAGUGCUGAAAGCAUCUAAGCACGAAACUUGCCCCGAGAUGAGUUCUCCCUGAGACUUAGAGUCUCCUGAAGGAACGUUGAAGACGACGACGUUGAUAGGCCGGGUGUGUAAGCGCAGCGAUG
rnacentral:rRNA from 1 species